CCCAAUCAAUUGAAGGCCUGAAAAGAGUAAGAGGUUGACCUCCUCCAAGCAAAAGAAGAUUAUUCAACAGACUUUAUCUGCAACAUCAGUAUUUCCUGGUUUCACAGUAUACUGCCUUCGGCUUGAACUGCAACUCUCCUGGGUGGCCAGCCUGCUGGCCUUUGUCAUUAAAUUAUGAACUAGCCAAGCUUUCACAAUCACGUGUGCCAACCCCUUACAGCCAGCUUUGUCUGAGUUCCAAACCUGUGUUCUGAAAAUACAGCUGUUCUACAACUCCUUGAGUUCAUGUGUUACAGAUUAAGUCUCCAUCUCAAUUGCAGAUUCUUAGGGAAGAGAUCUCAAUUGGCUCCACUCUGGAUCUUAUUAAUAAUUUCUCGACCAGGGAUCAAACUCAGGCCUGGCAGUGAGAAC